rnacentral:rRNA from 1 species
AGUAACGCGUGGGUAACCUGCCUCGUACAGGGGGAUAACAGUUAGAAAUGGCUGCUAAUACCGCAUGAGCGCACAGUGCUGCAUGGCACAGUGUGAAAAACUCCGGUGGUAUGAGAUGGACCCGCGUCUGAUUAGCUAGUUGGUGGGGUAACGGCCUACCAAGGCGACGAUCAGUAGCCGGCCUGAGAGGGUGAACGGCCACAUUGGGACUGAGACACGGCCCAA